AGAGGGUGCGAGCGUUAAUCGGAUUUACUGGGCGUAAAGCGUGCGUAGGUGGCCAAUUAAGUCAAAUGUGAAAUCCCCGAGCUUAACUUGGGAAUUGCAUUCGAUACUGGUUGGCUAGAGUAUGGGAGAGGAUGGUAGAAUUCCAGGUGUAGCGGUGAAAUGCGUAGAGAUCUGGAGGAAUACCGAUGGCGAAGGCAGCCAUCUGGCCUAAUACUGACACUGAGGUACGAAAGCAUGGGGAGCAAAC
rnacentral:rRNA from 1 species